rnacentral:lncRNA from 1 species
GAGGCAAGGACAAGGCUGUUUGCUGAGCUGGGUACAGCCCGGGAGGUCGAGGCAGUGGCUCCAGGCAGCAGCGUGGUUCCCAGGUCCUCUUCCAGGAACGUUCCUAGAAGGCCCCUCCACCCAAGCACCCAUCCCCAGAACCCCAUUUGCCUGGAUGGGGCGGUGCGGGCUGACUCAUCCCCUCCCUGGGCUGGAAGCCAGCACUCAGCUACCUGUUGGGCCAGUCAAGUAGGGGCGGGGCAGUCAGUCAGCCCCUCCCAGGCCCUGCCCUCAGGCCAAUCCGGAGCAGCGCCCCAUCAGCCCCAACACAUGACCAGGGCUGGACCCCAGGAAGUGAAGAAAGCCAGCGGUGAGCACAUGGUCAGGUCCACUGAGAGCCCACGAUGCCAGCCAAGCCCGAACCGAGUCCUGGCCCUGCCAGCCCCAUAGAGUCCUGUGGGUGACCCAUUCUUUAUUGGGAGCGUUACCUACUGUCUGGAUGCCAGCCAUCAGGGAAGACUGAAACCCCUCAGAUCAGGAGUCCAGCCUGAGCUGGCAAGGAGUUUGUGCCCCUUUGGAGGCUGGAAUGCUGGACCCCAGUUCCGUCCUCAGGUGCCAGGACGUGGCCUGAGCAUUGUCUCCAGUCUGGUUCCAGCUUUUUCCCCAUCAUUGACCCACUGCCCAGACCUCUGCAUGGUUCCUGGCUACCGAGAUCUCUUCACAGCAACCAAAGAGUAUCUGAGCUUAGAAGAUCCUAAGGAAUCGCCCAAUCUGGUGGAGAUGCUCUAGAGUAUUCAAAAACAUAAUCGUCUUUUUCACUGGAACAAUUAUUAGGGGUGUUUCUGCACUGGUGCUGUGGGAUAGAGAAGCUAAAUGUCCCACAGUGCACAAGGCAAUCUGCACAGUGACAAUGGCACCUCUUCCUUCGCUGGAUAAACAGUGAUUCUAGUCGAAAGUGCUUAACUGUGUAGUUGUAGUAACUAAGAGCUGCGGAGGAUAAGGGACUGGCCCAGGAUUACAUGCGCAUUUGUCUUAUAGGCAAUCCCAAGAGGGGAACCCAGGCCUUCUCCCUCUUGAGAAUAUCAGUGUCAUCUGUUCAAUAUUCCACCAGCAGUCACCAAGUUUGAGGCACUGUGGGAGAGUCAAAG